rnacentral:rRNA from 1 species
GAUGAACGCUGGCGGCGUGCCUAAUACAUGCAAGUCGAGCGAAUGGAUUAAGAGCUUGCUCUUAUGAAGUUAGCGGCGGACGGGUGAGUAACACGUGGGUAACCUGCCCAUAAGACUGGGAUAACUCCGGGAAACCGGGGCUAAUACCGGAUAACAUUUUGAACCGCAUGGUUCGAAGUUGAAAGGCGGCUUCGGCUGUCACUUAUGGAUGGAACCGGGUCGGAUUAGCUAGUUGGUGAGGUAACGGCUCACCAAGGCAACGAUGCGUAGCCGACCUGAGAGGGUGAUCGGCCACACUGGGACUGAGACACGGCCCAGACUCCUACGGGAGGCAGCAGUAGGGAAUCUUCCGCAAUGGACGAAAGUCUGACGGAGCAACGCCGCGUGAGUGAUGAAGGCUUUCGGGUCGUAAAACUCUGUUGUUAGGGAAGAACAAGUGCUAGUUGAAUAAGCUGACACCUUGACGGUACCUAACCAGAAAGCCACGGCUAACUACGUGCCAGCCGCCGCGGUAA